rnacentral:rRNA from 1 species
UGGGGAAUAUUGCACAAUGGGCGAAAGCCUGAUGCAGCAACGCCGCGUGCGGGAUGACGGCCUUCGGGUUGUAAACCGCUUUCAGCAGGGACGAAGGUUUUCUGACGGUACCUGCAGAAGAAGCACCGGCUAACUACGUGCCAGCAGCCGCGGUGAUACGUAGGGUGCGAGCGUUGUCCGGAAUUAUUGGGCGUAAAGAGCUUGUAGGCGAUCCGUUGCGUCGGAAGUGAAAACUCAGGGCUUAACCCUGAGCCUGCUUUCGAUACGGGCGGACUUGAGGGAUGUAGGGGAGAACGGAAUUCCUGGUGGAGCGGUGGAAUGCGCAGAUAUCAGGAGGAACACCAGUGGCGAAGGCGGUUCUCUGGACAUUUCCUGACGCUGAGAAGCGAAAGCGUGGGGAGCAAACAGGCUUAGAUACCCUGGUAGUCCACGCCGUAAACGGUGGGCACUAGGUGUGGGACCCAUUCCACGGGUUCCGUGCCGUAGCU